rnacentral:rRNA from 1 species
UACGUAGGUGGCAAGCGUUGUCCGGAAUUAUUGGGCGUAAAGCGCGCGCAGGCGGUCCUUUAAGUCUGAUGUGAAAGCCCACGGCUCAACCGUGGAGGGUCAUUGGAAACUGGGGGACUUGAGUGCAGGAGAGAAGAGUGGAAUUCCACGUGUAGCGGUGAAAUGGCGUAGAGAUGUGGAGGAACACCAGUGGCGAAGGCGACUCUUUGGCCUGUAACUGACGCUGAGGCGCGAAAGCGUGGGGAGCAAACAGG